AUUGAACGCUGGCGGCAUGCCUUACACAUGCAAGUCGAACGACACCACCGGUUCUUGCGGCGGAUGGCGGGGGGAGGCGGGGGAAGCUGUCCAUAGGAACGGGUUAAGUCGUGGGGGGGGGUCCGACGACCGCCGGAUUAAUACCGCCUACGAUCUACGGAUGAAUGCGUGGGCCCGUCUGGCCUCGCCCUGUUGGGUUGGCCGAGGGCUGAUGAGUUAGCUGGUGGGGUAUAGGCCUAGCAAGGGAACGACCAGUAGCUGGUAUGAGAGGGCGACCAGCUACACGGGGAGUGAGACACGGCACAGACUCCUACGGGAGGCAGCAGUGGGGAAUCUUGGAGAAGGGGCGAAAGGCUGAUCCAGCAAUGUCGCGGAUGUGAAGAAGGCGUUCGGGUUGUAAAGCACUGUUGGCCGGAAAGAAGUACUGCGCCCUAAUCCGGUCGGGUGAUGACGGUACCGGAAGAAUAAGCACCGGCUAACUACGUG
rnacentral:rRNA from 1 species